AGUUGCUUCGGUUGGAUACAGGCUUGUAAAGAAAAAAGAUUUGUACAGUGUCAAAUUGUAAAUUAGCCACAGGGGCAAUUGUGUCUUUUCACAUGGAGAAAAAAGGGAUACAAAAUAAAAAAUGAUUACAGUAAUUGAAAAGGGCAAAUCAUCAAAAGAAAAAUGAAAAGUGGGGCAAAUGAUCUAAUCCUAUGUAAAAUGGGGCAAAUCAUCUAAUGCCCAAGUAAAGUGGGGCAAAAGAUCCAACCGUCGGACGUCGGUCCGCGACCACCCCGGCCAGCCCCGCGCGCUGCCCCCCCUCUGCCGCCAGCCGCCGGUCUGCCACCGCCCUGGCCGGCCCCGCACCGUCCCCCACCGCCCAGCUUGGCCUCCAUCGCCGCAACCACCAGUCUUCUUCUGCUUCCCCGCGGACAAACGUGGGCAUGAGCAGAGCAGGCCCCCGCUGGUCUUCUUCUGCUGCCCCAAGAACGCGGGAGCGCCCCCUGCCGCCGCUGCCCAACGCCGGUCAGCCUCUGCUGACACACGGAAGGACGUCAGCGCGGUGUGGCGGCUGCCCUCCUCUGCUGCCCAACGCUGCCCCAACGGACGGCCACGACCUUAUCUGACUACGGAGAAACCAUCACAUUUUCAGGUUUACUUCAUCGCUUGAGAGUUUGUACUUUGUGGUCGGUGGUGGAGAGGUGUAGCAAGAGGUCUCUCUCAAGCUGUGGGAGAACGAGUCUGCAGAGACGACGUUGAAUUUUAUCAAGGCGGCUUCAUUUUGUUUUGAACUAUCCAAGAGAGACAAGGUUGCUUCAUUUGCAAGCUCAAAACUCUUUAUGAUUGUAUUAUGCUUCUCUACCCAGUUCACUGAAAAUAUGAACCAAUGCAAUUGGUUGUUGGUGUUUGAUCCCAUUAGUAGUAUGAUCAAAUUUGUUUCGAGACAUGCAGUCCCCAAAUGCUCCACUCCCCACAAUCUGACAAAUGGGAGAGGGAAGCUGAGGCUAUGGUCGCGCCGUUGUAGACAAACAGUUUAACACUGAGAUUAGCAUCCUUGUACAGCAGCAAAUCAACUAGGAGCCUCUCCUGAGAAGCAAAGAUGUGGAUUGUCCACCUCGAAGGUUAUAGUUGCUAAAGAAGCUAGAGGAGAUUUAGAAUAUUUUAUCUCACAACUUUCACUUCAUCAGCCCAAUAAUGAAAGCAGAAGUAUGCAUUAAAUAUACAAAGGUCUCCACAAGGUUUGCAUAAGACGGUAAUGUCCCAUCUUUAAAUCCUCCCACAUUGUGCUAGAAACUAAUUUUAUUACUUACUGGACAUAUAUGCCAUGCAUGUUUAGUACCUUGACUCUUUAUAUAGACAAAGCUCUGAGGAAUGAAGCGUUUGGGAGCCCGGAUGAAGAAUGCUUCUGAGGCGGAGAAAGAGAAGUGAUGAGAAUACUUCCAAACCGCUCUGAAUUUUUAUUUUGGCAAACUCAGACUCCUUGUUUGAUAAAAUACAUCUGAAGAGCAUUUUUGCGCACUGUUCAAAUAAACUCUUCAUUUUUGUGUCUCUGUCAAACAAUGCAUUUCAAAUAAUUAGGUUAUUGCCCCGGGGAUA